rnacentral:rRNA from 1 species
CCUACGGGUGGCUGCAGUCGAGGAUCUUCGGCAAUGGGCGCAAGCCUGACCGAGCGACGCCGCGUGCGGGAUGAAGGCCUUCGGGUUGUAAACCGCUUUCGGAGGGGAUGAAAUGCGUGGGGGUUCUCCCCCACGUUUGACAUAGCCUCUAAAGAAGUACGGGCUAAGUUCGUGCCAGCAGCCGCGGUAAGACGAACCGUACGAACGUUAUUCGGAAUCACUGGGCUUAAAGGGUGCGUAGGCGGCGCUGAAAGUUGGGUGUGAAAUCCCUCGGCUUAACCGAGGAAUUGCGCCCAAAACUACAGUGCUUGAGGGAGAUAGAGGUGAGUGGAACUUAGGGUGGAGCGGUGAAAUGCGUUGAUAUCCUAAGGAACACCAGUGGCGAAAGCGACUCACUGGGUCUUCUCUGACGCUGAGGCACGAAAGCUAGGGUAGCGAAC